UUACGAGAUGUUCUUGAUCUGUAGAUAAGGAGACAUUAGCCUACAGCCAACAAAUUUUGCCACAACUUCGUACAUGUUGAGAGAAGUUUUACGGAUGGGUUCUGCAGCAGAAGUUUGGCGAGUUCCAGAAGAGUAUGGGGAGCCAGUUGUUCCGUGUGUCAAAGGUUUGCGAGACCGCCAACAAGCUGACAAAGUCGGAGACUAGAACUGAACGCUAGCGGAAAGAAAGAGGAAGCUGCGGAAUCCUAUCCAGUCUUGUCGAACAGAACCAAUGAACAAGCCGAACGCUAACCAUUAACAGCUGAGAAGAUCUCA